rnacentral:misc_RNA from 1 species
UACGUAGGGCGCGAGCGUUAUCCGGAAUUAUUGGGCGUAAAGAGCUCGUAGGCGGUUUGUCACGUCUGCUGUGAAAGCCCGGGGCUCAAACCCGGGUGUGCAGUGGGUACGGGCAGACUAGAGUGCAGUGGGGGAGACUGGAAUUCCUGGUGUAGCGGUGAAAUGCGCAGAUAUCAGGAGGAACACCGAUGGCGAAGGCAGGUCUCUGGGCUGUUACUGACGCUGAGGAGCGAAAGCGUGGGGAGCAAACAGG